rnacentral:rRNA from 1 species
CAAAUCUUGACAUCCUUUGACCGCUCUAGAGAUAGAGUUUUCCCCUUCGGGGGACAAAUGACAGGUGGUGCAUGGUUGUCGUCAGCUCGUGUCGUGAGAUGUUGGGUUAAGUCCCGCAACGAGCGCAACCCUUAAGCUUAGUUGCCAUCAUUAAGUUGGGCACUUUAGGUUGACUGCCGGUGACAAACCGGAGGAAGGUGGGGAUGACGUCAAAUCAUCAUGCCCCUUAUGAUUUGGGCUACACACGUGCUACAAUGGAUAAUACAAAGGGCAGCGAAUCCGGGAGGUCAAGCAAAUCCCAUAAAAUUAUUCUCAGUUCGGAUUGUAGUCUGCAACUCGACUACAUGAAGCNGGAAUCGNUAGUAAUCG